rnacentral:rRNA from 1 species
AUUGAACGCUGGCGGCAUGCCUUACACAUGCAAGUCGAACGGUAACAGGUCUUCGGAUGCUGACGAGUGGCGAACGGGUGAGUAAUACAUCGGAACGUGCCCGAUCGUGGGGGAUAACGGAGCGAAAGCUUUGCUAAUACCGCAUACGAUCUACGGAUGAAAGCAGGGGACCGCAAGGCCUUGCGCGGACGGAGCGGCCGAUGGCAGAUUAGGUAGUUGGUGGGAUAAAAGCUUACCAAGCCGACGAUCUGUAGCUGGUCUGAGAGGACGACCAGCCACACUGGGACUGAGACACGGCCCAGACUCCUACGGGAGGCAGCAGUGGGGAAUUUUGGACAAUGGGCGAAAGCCUGAUCCAGCCAUGCCGCGUGCAGGAUGAAGGCCUUCGGGUUGUAAAAUGCUUUUGUACGGAACGAAAAGACUCUUUCUAAUAAAGAGGGUCCAUGACGGUACCGUAAGAAUAAGCACCGGCUAACUACGUG